rnacentral:snoRNA from 1 species
AUGCAGGUAUGAUUACAACAUGACUGGAGUGUUUGUUGUGAUUCCUUCCUCAGAGCGCUUGACACAUUACCAUCUCGGGUCCGCUCUGGGCUACAGUAAGAGAGAUGAUCGAUUUCAAAAUU